rnacentral:rRNA from 1 species
CAGGCUUAACACAUGCAAGUCGAGGGGCAGCAUGGUCUUAGCUUGCUAAGGCUGAUGGCGACCGGCGCACGGGUGAGUAACACGUAUCCAACCUGCCGUCUACUCUUGGCCAGCCUUCUGAAAGGAAGAUUAAUCCAGGAUGGGAUCAUGAGUUCACAUGUCCGCAUGAUUAAAGGUAUUUUCCGGUAGACGAUGGGGAUGCGUUCCAUUAGAUAGUAGGCGGGGUAACGGCCCACCUAGUCAACGAUGGAUAGGGGUUCUGAGAGGAAGGUCCCCCACAUUGGAACUGAGACACGGUCCAAACUCCUACGGGAGGCAGCAGUGAGGAAUAUUGGUCAAUGGGCGAUGGCCUGAACCAGCCAAGUAGCGUGAAGGAUGACUGCCCUAUGGGUUGUAAACUUCUUUUAUAAAGGAAUAAAGUCGGGUAUGCAUACCCGUUUGCAUGUAC